rnacentral:rRNA from 1 species
UACAGAGGGUGCGAGCGUUAAUCGGAAUUACUGGGCGUAAAGCGUGCGUAGACGGUUAUUUAAGUCGGGUGUGAAAGCCCCGGGCUCAACCUGGGAAUUGCAUUCGAGACUGAAUAGCUAGGGUACGGUAGAGGGAAGUGGAAUUCCGGUGUAGCGGUGAAAUGCGUAGAUAUCGGAAGGAACAUCAGUGGCGAAAGCGACUUCCUGGACCAGGUACCGUACGUU